rnacentral:misc_RNA from 1 species
AGUCAUCAACCCCUUCCGUUUCGUGCGGAGGGCGGUUGGAUGUGGGGGCUCUGCUGCCGUGAGGCGGCUCCCCUCAAAUGCAUCGGUUGGGCCUGUGGGUCGAACUCGACUGGGCGUUGUACCAUCCUCGCUCGACAGAGACGUUCCCCUCCUGCGCCCUCCCUCGACCUGCUGUCAGAGCGGCGGUCAAGCAAACAAACUUUGAA